AUGUUUAGCAUAAAUGGCAGGCUAUUUCUUCUUUGAGAAGAAAUAGAAUCCAAGGUUUGUAAUCAUGAACCACACAGAAGCUUUAUACAAAGAAAAUGUUUUAAGUAUGUAAAGAUAAAGUGUCCUAAAGGCAAUUUUUCAAUUUCUUAAUUUAUGCCAUCUUUAUUUUUCAGAACUUGAUGUCAACUUUAUUUCUCAAAAUAUAUCUGCAGAGGUCUGCAGAAACCUGCAGGCCAGCAUCUGUUCUUGGAGGCCAGGCUUCCAGCUUGCAUUGACUUUCAGGAUCUUUCUUCAGGCAAACACCUGGAGACAAUCAUCUGCAGAUGCCAGUCUGCAAGCAGAUGUAUAUGGGUCUUUUCCAGAAUGUCAUAUAAAUGGAAUCAUAUAAUAUCUUUUUGUUCCCCCACAGGAGAGACUGGUUUGCGGUUCCCUCAUGUGAAAGACUGCACAUGAGGUACUGGUUAGCUUUUUGUUCCCUCGCAUGUGGAGGACUGCAUGUGAGGUUUGUCCCAGACUAACUUUCAGAUGUUUUUUUGUCUAUUUUGUCUACAUCAGCAGAUGAGGUAGAGAAGUAACUAGGUUAUAUCAGAGUGAGGUGACAGGCACGUUGCCAAGCACUGGAAGGCCUUGGGCCAAUGGUCCCAGGCAAAAACAGUAAGUAUUGUUUGUCCGAAUGAACUGGCCCUUCAGCUGGAUAAACAAUAUUUUUAUCACAGUAACUGCUGGACCCUCCCCGAACUGACCAUUCCCUGAGGCGGAGGCAGGAACAAGGAGGUUGGCUCUAAGGUACAUCUGAAAAAAUAUAUAAGACAGACAUCAGUUGGCAGUGUAAUUUUGUCACUUGUCAUUGGUGAUUCUUUAUCAUUCUAAUAUUUUGGGAAACUUCCAGCAACAUGCAGCUUAUAACACCAGGAGACACCCUGACUACCAGCUGCGAACCUAAUGAGGUCUGGCUGGUUCCCUACCUCUCCAAUGUUGUUCCCCAUGGUUAGCCUUCUUAAGAACUUGUUAGCAUUUUGGAAAUUUGUAUGCAGCUUGCAGCUUACAACAUCAGAAGAUGUCUUGACUUCCAACAACAACAACAGCAACGGCAACGGCAAUAACACCAGCAUUCUUGGGAACUAGCAAGCAGCAGUGAGAGAUGCCUUAGCUUUCCCAGCUGCAGACCUGGCAAGAUUUUGAUUCCUGACCUUUCCACUGUUGUUUUUCCUAAGGUUUGGUGAGCUUUUGGCAUCUACUAUAAUAGUUGCUAUCCUAUAGAGUUUGUUACUGCUUUUGGAUACUCCUUAUUGAUGUUAUUUGUGUAUUUAGCCAAGUGAGUUUUGAUCAAUAGUAAACAUAUGUUGGGAUCUCUUAAACUUAUAU